GACGAACCGUGCGAACGUUAUUCGGAAUCACUGGGCUUAAAGCGCGUGUAGGCGGGGAGGCCCGUCCGACGUUGAAAUCCCCCGGCUCAACCGGGGAACUGGCGCGGAUACGACCUUCCUGGAGGGGCGUAGGGGGACCUGGAACUUCCGGUGGAGCGGUGAAAUGCGUUGAGAUCGGAAGGAACGCCCGUGGCGAAAGCGAGGUCCUGGACGCCUACUGACGCUGAGACGCGAAAGCCAGGGGAGCGAACGGG
rnacentral:rRNA from 1 species